GGUCGGGUCCUGUGCAACGGGUCCCCGCGAACCAGGUCAGGACCGGGAGGUAGCAGCCUUCAGCGGUUUCACCCGGGUGCCGCAGACCACCUGGCCGUC
rnacentral:SRP_RNA from 1 species